rnacentral:rRNA from 1 species
UAAGCGGAGGAAAAGAAACUAACAAGGAUUUCCCUAGUAACGGCGAGCGAACCGGAAGUAGCCCAGUUUGAAAAUCUCACGGUUCCACCGUGCGAAUUGUAGUCUGGAGAGGCGUCCUCUGCAGCGGACCGGGCCCAAGUUCCCUGGAAUGGGACGUCGGAGAGGGUGAGAGCCCCGUCGAGCUCGGACCCUGCUGCUCCACGAGGCGCCGUCGACGAGUCGGGCUGUUUGGGAAUGCAGCCCUAAGCGGGUGGUAAAUUCCAUCCAAGGCUAAAUAUGGGCAAGAGACCGAUAGCG